rnacentral:rRNA from 1 species
CGCCCGCUCAGAAACUCAAAGGCAUUGACGGGGGCCCGCACAAGCGGUGGAGCAUGUGGUUUAAUUCGAUGAUACGCGAGGAACCUUACCUGGGCUCAAAUGUAUGUUGACGUAUUCUGAAAGGGAUACUUCUUCGGACAAUAUACAAGGUGCUGCAUGGUUGUCGUCAGCUCGUGCCGUGAGGUGUCGGGUUAAGUCCCAUAACGAGCGCAACCCCUAUCAUUAGUUGCCAUCAGGUCAAGCUGGGGACUCUAAUGAAACUGCCUACGCAAGUAGUGAGGAAGGUGGGGAUGACGUCAAAUCAGCACGGCCCUUACGUCCAGGGCUACACACGUGCUACAAUGGCCGGUACAAAGGGCAGCUACCUGGUGACAGGAUGCUAAUCUCAAAAGCCGGUCUCAGUUCGGAUUGCAGGCUGAAACUCGCCUACAUGAAGUUGGAGUUGCUAGUAAUCGCGAAUCAGAAUGUCGCGGUGAAUGCGUUCCCGGGUCUU